CACCUAAAGGAGACCCCCAGGUCCCACAAACACCUGAAUUCCACCCGUUUCACCCAUACCAUUUUCCUCCAUAUCCCCCUCAACAACACUAUUUCCCAACAUCAGCCCCCACUACCUCACCUAAACACACACAAUCCCCUCAACCUGUCACCCAGGUCCUGCAUAUGCCACCUAAAGGAGACCCCCAGGUCCCACAAACACCUGAAUUCCACCCGUUUCACCCAUACCAUUUUCCUCCAUAUCCCCCUCAACAACACUAUUUCCCAACAUCAGCCCCCACUACCUCACCUAAACACACACAAUCCCCUCAACCUGUCACCCAGGUCCUGCAUAUGCCACCUAAAGGAGACCCCAGGUCCCACAAACACCUGAAUUCCACCCGUUUCACCCAUACCAUUUUCCUCCAUAUCCCCCUCAACAACACUAUUUCCCAACAUCAGCCCCCACUACCUCACCUAAACACACACAAUCCCCUCAACCUGUCACCCAGGUCCUGCAUAUGCCACCUAAAGGAGACCCCAGGUCCCACAAACCCCUGAAUUCCACCCGUUUCACCCGUACCAUUUUCCUCCGUAUCCCCCUCAGCCCUAUUUCCCAACAUCAGCCCCCACUACCUCACCUAAACACACACAAUCCCCUCAACCUGUUACCCAGGUCCUGCAUAUGCCACCUAAAGGACACCCCAGGUCCCACAAACCCCUGAAUUCCACCCGUUUCACCCGUACCAUUUUCCUCCGUAUCCCCCUCAGCCCUAUUUCCCAACAUCAGCCCCCACUACCUCACCUAAACACACAAAUUCCCCUCAACCUGCCACCCAAGCCCUGCAUAUGCCACCUAAAGGAUACCCCCAGGUCCCACAAAUGCCUGACUUAAAAAUGUUUUACCCGUACCAUUUUACUACACAUCUCCCUCAACCUUAUUUCCCAUCAGCCUCUACAACCACACCUAAACAAACAAACCAGGCCCUGCAUAUGCCACCUAAAGGAUACCCUCAGGUCCCACUGAGUUACCAGUUCCCCCAAUACAAUUUCCCAGGGUUUUUCCCUCAACGCUCUGUCCCAAGAGCACCCCCCAUAGCCAGCCAACUGGAUAACCAGAAUAACCCCCAGAAAUAUCAUUACUCAGAUUCCUCCUACCGUCAAAAGUCAGCCACUCCUUCAGUAACUGCUAGCACUAUCCCUGGCACCACACCCCAGGCCCAAUCCAAGCAGCCCUUCAUGCAAUAUGACCAGUACCCGAUGGUUCGCAGCUGGAAUCCGUAUGCUUCUGCUCUGUUCCCACCCCAUUAUGGAACGGUGCCGUAUCAUUAUCAAGGGCCUAGGGAGUAACUUAUGGUGGAAUCUACAGUUUCCAGCCAUUACUUGUGAAGUGUAAAAUAAAUUCACUAAAUGUA